UACGGAGGGUGCAAGCGUUGUUCGGAAUCACUGGGCGUAAAGGGCGUGUAGGCGGUCUGUUAAGUCUGAUGUGAAAUCCCCCCGCUCAACGAGGGAACUGCGUCGGAAACUGGCAGACUCGAGUACCGGAGAGGAAGGUGGAAUUCCCGGUGUAGCGGUGAAAUGCGUAGAUAUCUGGAGGAACACCGGUGGCGAAGGCGGCAUCCUGGACCAAUACUGACGCUGAGGAGCGAAAGCUAGGGGAGCAAACGGG
rnacentral:rRNA from 1 species